rnacentral:rRNA from 1 species
AACGAACGCUGGCGGCGUGCCUAACACAUGCAAGUCGAACGGGAUUAGGGGCUUGCUCCUAAUCUAGUGGCGCACGGGUGAGUAACGCGUAGAUAAUCUGCCUGAUGAUCUGGGAUAACACUUCGAAAGAGGUGCUAAUACCGGAUAAGCCCACGGGUUCUUUGGAAUCUGCGGGAAAAGGGGGGGACCUUCGGGCCUUCUGUCAUCAGAUGAGUCUGCGUACCAUUAGCUAGUUGGUAGGGUAAUGGCCUACCAAGGCGACGAUGGUUAGCUGGUCGGAGAGGAUGAUCAGCCACACUGGAACUAAGACACGGUCCAGACUCCUACGGGAGGCAGCAGUGGGGAAUUUUGCGCAAUGGGCGAAAGCCUGACGCAGCAACGCCGCGUGAGUGAUGAAGGCUUUCGGGUCGUAAAGCUCUGUCAAUGGGAAAGAAGUGUAUUGGAGCUAAUAUCUCCGAUACUUGACGGUACCCAUAAAGGAAGCACCGGCUAACUCCGUGCCAGCCGCCGCCGUAA